AGUGGACGCUGGCGGUAGGCCUAACACAUGCAAGUCGAACGGCAGCACAGUAAGAGCUUGCUCUUACGGGUGGCGAGUGGCGGACGGGUGAGGAAUACAUCGGCAUCUACUUUUUCGUGGGGGAUAACGUAGGGAAACUUACGCUAAUACCGCAUACGACCUACGGGUGAAAGCAGGGGAUCUUCGGACCUUGCGCGAUUGAAUGAGCCGAUGUCGGAUUAGCUAGUUGGCGGGGUAAAGGCCCACCAAGGCGACGAUCCGUAGCUGGUCUGAGAGGAUGAUCAGCCACACUGGAACUGAGACACGGUCCAGACUCCUACGGGAGGCAGCAGUGGGGAAUAUUGGACAAUGGGCGCAAGCCUGAUCCAGCCAUACCGCGUGGGUGAAGAAGGCCUUCGGGUUGUAAAGCCCUUUUGUUGGGAAAGAAAAGCAGCAGGUUAAUACCCCGCUGUUCUGACGGUACCCAAAGAAUAAGCACCGGCUAACUUCGUG
rnacentral:rRNA from 1 species